ACAAAUGUAAUCCAAUUACCAACCACACUGUGCACCGUUGAAGUAUGCUUUGGCAGGGAGUGAAAUGGCAGGAGCCCUUGGGCACCGGUCUUUCGAUCUGCCAGAGUUUUUUACAUACUAAACAAACAAACGUCUUAUUAUCUGACUGAACUUCAUUUAAACAAAUGAAAAUA
rnacentral:misc_RNA from 1 species